rnacentral:rRNA from 1 species
AACGAACGCUGGCGGCAUGCCUAACACAUGCAAGUCGAACGAGAACUUCGGGACUAUUGGCGCAUGAGUGUAUAACGCGAGGGAACAUGCCCUUAGGAUAGGAAUAAUAUAACAAAAGGAGUACUAAUACAGGAUAAUGUCUACAGACGAAAGAGUUAUCGCCUUUGGAUGGGAAUGGUUUGGAUUAGCUAGUUGGUAGGGUAAACGCCUACCAAGGCGGCAAUCCCUAGCUGGUCUGAGAGGAUGAUCAGCCACACUUGGACUGAGACACGGCCGAGACUCCUACGCGAGGCAGCAGUGGGGAAUAUUGGACCGUGGGCGAAAGCCUGAUCCAGCAAUGCCCCGUGAGUUAUGUAGGCCUUAGGGUUGUAAUGCUCUUUUACCCGUGAUGAUCAUGACAGUACCGGGAGAAUAAGCUCCGGCUAACUCCGUG